rnacentral:lncRNA from 1 species
AAUAAAAGGUUGGCACACAAAAGAAUUCCUAAAGAAAAGCACUAGAUUAGAUGACCAAAUAAAAAAACAGCACCACUGGAAAAUGUUGUGGGCCAGAAAACGUGUUUGUUCCCCGAUUUAUGCUGAUCUGUAUUUUUGGAAUUUGGCUCUGAAAUUUGUUAUGCAAUAUAUUCAGGAUCUUAUCUAAAAUCUGGCUUUGGAUUCACUCAAAACGGAUGCACCAUUUUUUUUUAAUAAAUUUUGCAAAAUUGGUGUUCGGUUAGGCCAGCUGGAGCGCUCAAGAUUUGCACUCUGAUUUUGUAAGAUUUAUCAUUUUUUUUCUGUUGCUUCUUUUGACCUAAUUCUUUUUUUGUCUUUUCUAUAACACUUUAAACUUGCAUUUUCCAGAAAAUCAGAAUUUUUCUAUGGGUGGAAAUAUUUUUCUGGGUUAAAACAGCCAAAACAGAGAAGGUGUAAACAGGGGAAUCUGAAAACUGGAAACAAAAACAGCAAGAUACCAAAGUUUAGACACAAUGGAAAUUUGUGAAAUAGAAUUGUGUAUGAUCUAAACACAAUAUGAACUCAAACUAAAAAUUAAAAAGGCACCAAAGGAUCAAAGAACAGCAGAUUC